rnacentral:rRNA from 1 species
AAUCUUCCACAAUGGACGAUAGUCUGUUGGAGCUACGCCGCGUGCGUGAAGAAGGUUUUUGGAUCGUAUUACUCUGUUGUAAGUGAAGAACAAUUACAGUAGUAACUGGCUGUACCUUGACGGUACCUUAUUGGAAAGCCACGGCUACCUACGUGCCAGCAGCCGCGGUAAUACGUAGGUGGCAAGCGUUGUCCGGAAUUAUUGGGCGUAAAGCGCGCGCAGGCGGUUCUUUAAGUCUGAUGUGAAAGCCCACGGCUCAACCGUGGAGGGUCAUUGGAAACUGGAGGACUUGAGUGCAGAAGAGGAAAGUGGAAUUCCAAGUGUAGCGGUGAAAUGCGUAGAGAUUUGGAGGAACACCAGUGGCGAAGGCGACUUUCUGGUCUGUAACUGACGCUGAGGCGCGAAAGCGUGGGGAGCAAACAGG